UGUUGAUAUGAUGUUGGAUUAUUUUUUUUUUAAUAAUUUGAUGACCAGUAUGAUGGUUAUAUUGGCAUUAGCUCCAUCUGAUCAAUU